CUUAUGAUAAAGCUGUGGCUUCCUUUAAGCAUGCUCUAAAGAACGGUGACAUUUGUGAAACUCCAGAUAAGCCAAAAGGCACAGCCAGAAGAAAACCUGCCAAGAAGAAUAAAAGCCAAAAGAAGAAUGCCACAACUCCCUUGAAACAGUGGAAAGUUGGUGACAAGUGUUCUGCUGUUUGGUCAGAAGACGGCUGCAUUUACCCAGCUACUAUUACGUCCAUUGACUUUGGCGUGGCACCGGCCAGAGUGAUGAUUCUGACAUUUGGGAUGAUA
rnacentral:sRNA from 1 species